UUUUGUCAGUGAAUGAUGGCGGAGCUGAGUGGCUUGUCAUCAUUCUCGAAAAUUCUAAGCCUAGUGAGCUCUCUCUCCCUCUCCUACUUGCCUUAUUUUCCUUUCCGCCACUGCGGGGACUUUUUCUAAUUUGCAGCUUCCCUUUCCACGGCACACACAGACAGGAGCUGGUGGCUUUCAGACUGCGUCUGUCUGGAGCUAGCGACACAGAACAGAGGGAGUGUUCCUGAAGCAGGGUUCUGCGGUGGCAGCUCUUACAGACUCCAUUCGAGGGGUAUUGCUGCAUAUCUACCGGUAAUGCUUUAGGGCUUUUUACAUUUUCUUUUCUUUUUAAUCCACGUUUUCAAAGGAUCAGCUUUAUGUGGCCUCGGAAUACUGUGUUUUAAAUACGUUAUUGAGCUUAAAAUCCAAGCGCUGCCUUUUUUGUGCUCCAGACUCCAAGGCAUACAUUUAUUAUCUGGAUAUCAAGGAUGAAUGGACUUAUUGGUGAGUUGUGAUUUUUGAUAUUUAUCUGACAAACCUAUAUGUAUAUAUGUGUUUCUUUUGUUUCUCUAGGUUCCUCAGCUUGUCUCUAACAGAGGAAGCACUGAUUGGGAAGCACUCAGUCAGAAAAUUAAAAGGUACUGCAUGAUUUAUUUGGACGUUUAAAGGAAGGGCAAUUGAGAAAGAAUUGGAAUGCUUUUAUUUUAGGUUUACCCUCAUGGCUGGUUUUUUAUCCCAGAGUGGAUUGUCUGAUCUUUGUCUAGAAGAUGUAGGAGUUCUUAUGCAGAUUUCACCAUCAGCCGAGGCUAUUUUGAAUAGAAAGUAUCUAAAAAAUAUAUGCCUUUUGUCUAUGCUGCAAAUACUAAGAAAUAUCAGCUUGCCUAGCUCAUCUGUAAUGUUUGGAUUUUUGUCAUUGUGACAGUUAACAAAAUGUCUGAAAUAUGUGUAUCACAAAGAAAAUAUAUUUAUUUGAACUUAAGAGAAACAUGUUAAAAAUUAUUUUAGAUGGAGGUUUCCUGUGGAUCCAUGCUUUAAAAAAUAAAUAUUCUAAAUAAAAUGGUUCACCCUUUUAGAUGGGAAGAGCUUUGGAGACUGAAGCCCAGGGAUGACUCAGUGUUGUGAAAUUUGGUGAAUAAAAUAUUAUAAUUUCUAUACAAUAUCUUUAGUAUACAACAGGAAAUAUAUUUAAAGUCAGAAAUGGUUAAUUUUCAAAAGAGCUUAGUAUCAUAUGCUUUAUUCAGAAUUAAUAACAUAAGAAAAUAGAUCCUUUCUCUUGCUAUGAAAGCAGUUGAAUCCAUUGAUCUGGGCCUCAAGCCUUACAUGAAAAAUAAUCAUUUUUAAACUUAGCAUGAGGGUGUAUAUUGACUUGAAAGGGCAGUUAUGAUUACUGCCUGCUCUUUAAUUUUUUAACUUUAUCUCUGACUUUAACAUAUGUUCUUGUCCACAAAACCUAUAUAGUAGUCAUUUACC
rnacentral:lncRNA from 1 species